ACAGAAUGAAUGCCGAAUCCAGAGCAAGCUAAUAACAAAAGCAAAAACAAAUUUGAGCUCCACCUUCAUUUAUUCCAACCCAUACACUACAAGUAAUAGAAAUGGAACUAUUCAAUGCUAUGCAAAUCCUUGGGAAAGAAUAUUCCAGAUAUUAUGAAACAAAGCACAAAUUUACAUGAUUUUCCAAGUCAAAAUUCAUGAUGAGCAGGCACCCAAAAAAUCAUAAGCAGACAACUGACCACAUGCAGCUGAAUCCUUUCAAAUACAAAGUAUCUGUGUGUGUGAGAGAGAAAUUUUACAUAUUAAUGGCUACAAUGUAUUUGAAUUUUGAAGUAUGUAUUAUACAACAACUACAGUAGAAUCAAUCAGAAGAUUUUACAGCAGCCCCAAUUUUGUAUAAGCUUGUGUUUGGAUGGGGACUAAAAUCAGAAAUGACUGUACAUAUGCAAAACAUAAAAAACACCAAGAAUGAAAUCAUAAUAGGCAAAACCAGCAACAAAGCGAAAUAAAGAAACAUAAUAGGCAAAACUACUACAUUGCUCCAAGAAGAUGCAAAGAGAGUUAUGGCACUAAUAUAGGAUCAGAAAACGAGGAAAUCAUAUUCUCUUUCUGUCACUCUCUAUUCUACAAAAAUAGUUAACCCACUAUUUCAAUCCACCAAGAAUAAUUGAGAAUGUUAUUCCAUUAGAGAAGUCACAAAUAUGUAGCACUUACAAGUUAUAAAUGGUCAGAGUAUGCCUGAAUUUCAUCAAAUUCUAUAUCUGUUCAAGUUUUCAACCGUUGUCAAAAUAGCAAGAAAAGCACAACCUGUAACCCACCUUGUGAAACUUUAAUGGAUACUCAUUUUUAUUUCCCUCUCUUUAUUUUAUUUCAGGUCCUCAAUUUUGUUCAAAAAUUAACAUAAAAACUUCACUUAAUUAAUUUUUCUAUAAAUUAGGGGCGCAAACUUUCUCUUGCAACAGUUAACUUGUCAAACCAUAUUCUUACUAAAGAAUAUGAUUUGACACGCCACAAUAAAGAAUCGUUAUAGGCUAAAUUCUUGGUCUUCUAAGAAGAUAAGAGAGAGUUGACACGCCACAAGGAAAUCAUAUUCUUACUCUCACUCUCUAUUCCACCAAGAUCGAUUACCCACAAUCUCAAUCCACCAAGAAUGAGCAUUCUUGAGUAAUUGAGAAUGAUAUUUCAUUACCGGCACAACCCAUGAUCGAAGAACUUACAAAUAGUCAAAGUUUACCUCAAACUUACCAAAUUGUAUAUCUAUUCAAGUCUCAGAACAGAAUCACAUAUAACCAAUUAGUAAAAAAGUGACAGAACAGAAUCACAAGAUUUUAGGGUUUUGAUUUGCUUGACAAAGACAACACUUUGGUGAAAUCAGUUAGUAAAAAGAAUUUAAAUGGAAGAAAGAAAUAAAUCCCUACAAGAAUUGAAUUAGUUCUCUAUAUUCAAUGAUGAUUUCAUCAAACAAUCCCUUCAAAACAAUGACCUGAUUUGAGACAAAUUCUCUAUCUCUCAGUCUUUUGCACAUGCAACAACAACGAUAAAUCUCUCACAAUGUAUGUGUUUGAACGUAACGGUCACGCGACAACAAUAUAUAGAGUUAAGUGAACGUAAACAUCACGCAGACUUGGACGUAACGGUCACGCGAAACAUGGGCCUUGGUCCAACGCUUCAUAUGGUUUAAUUUUGGUACAACUUCAAAAAUAAUUUUUUAAUAACAUAGUACUUAAAAAAAAUUGAUAAUUCUUUUUGUAAGAUUUUUAAUAUUUUUUGUGAAACAUUUAUUAUUUUCUCGUAUUAAUAUUUUGAUUACUCUAAUUUUUAUCAUUAAGACAAACAAUUAAAUUUUAGAAAUGAAAAAUAAUAAAACUUAGUAAGUGUUUUAAAAAAUAACAAUGGUAGAGAAAGAAAGACCUGAUAUAUCAGUUGUCCUUGGAUAUUAUAACAUCUUUAUAUUUCUUUUCUUUGGAGGAACCACUUAAGCUUUUACAUCAUGUCCCCCAUCUUGACUCUCGUUGUUAUGGCUUC
rnacentral:lncRNA from 1 species